CCUACGGGUGGCUGCAGUGAGGAAUAUUGGUCAAUGGCCGAGAGGCUGAACCAGCCAAGUCGCGUGAGGGAAGACGGCCCUACGGGUUGUAAACCUCUUUUGUCGGGGAGCAAAGCGAGUCACGUGUGACUCAUUGAGAGUACCCGAAGAAAAAGCAUCGGCUAACUCCGUGCCAGCAGCCGCGGUAAUACGGAGGAUGCGAGCGUUAUCCGGAUUUAUUGGGUUUAAAGGGAGCGUAGGUGGAUUGUUAAGUCAGUUGUGAAAGUUUGCGGCUCAACCGUAAAAUUGCAGUUGAAACUGGCAGUCUUGAGUACAGUAGAGGUGGGCGGAAUUCGUGGUGUAGCGGUGAAAUGCUUAGAUAUCACGCAGAACUCCGAUUGCGAAGGCAGCAUACCGGCGCUCAACUGACGCUCAUGCACGAAAGUGUGGGUAUCGAACAGGAUUAGAUACCCGGGUAGUC
rnacentral:rRNA from 1 species